GUGAUCCUCCCAUCUCAGCCUCCCGAGUAGCUGGGGCUACAGGUCUUUUGCUCCACGUGAUAUUGACUAUGAUCAUCUGGAGGGUCCGUGGUUCCAGUGACUUAGCAUCAAAGACGGCCUAACACACACGUCUGGUGCCUCUGCUGGGAUGGCUGAAGCAGCCGGAGGCUGGCCAGACUGGAAGCUCCUCAGGCAGCUAGGAUCCCCAUCAACCCUGGACCCUGUGCCAGCCCAGAAGAUCAAGAGUGCUGGAGAAAGGGAAGCUGGAAGAAGAUCUGCUGGCUGGGAUUCCUGGCAGGGCUGAAGGAGAUCAGAGCCUGCACUGAACAGACUCCACCGCGGCAGCUCCUUUCUCUACUCUGGACUCCAAUCCUUUUGGGAUCCUGCUUUGCACUCACUGAUGAGAAAAUGACAAGGGACACCUCCAGCUCCAAGAAACUAUGGAUUUUAAAAAAUGAAAGUAUAAA
rnacentral:lncRNA from 1 species